rnacentral:lncRNA from 1 species
AUUUCUUUGGGUCGCUCCCGCGGCAUAUGGAGGUUCCCAGGCUAGGGGUCGAAUUGGAGCUGUAGCCACUGGCCUACUCCAGAGCCACAGCAAUGCGGGAUCCGAGCCGUGUCUGCAACCUACACCACAGCUCAUGGCAACCGGAUCGUUAACCCUCUGAGCAAGGGCAGGGACCGAACCCGCAACCUCAUGGUUCCUAGUCAGAUUUGUUAACCACUGUGCCACGACGGGAACUCCAAGAAGUUACUUUAAAAAAUGUGAAUCUGACUUGUAUCAGACUUCUCAUCUGCAAUGAAGGAUGUCAGAAAUAGUAGAGUAGUGUCUAUACAAUGUUGAGGGAAAAGGAUUUUAAACUAGAAUUCCCUAGCCAGGAAAAUUAUCAAUUAAAUAUGAUGCUAAAAGAAAGGCCUUCUUAGUCACACAAAGAUUCAGAAAACGAAUAAGAUGUGCUGCAUCACCGAAAUAAUUAUUUUGAGCCAUAUUCUGGCAAAAGGAAAAUGGAACCCAAGCAAAAGGAAGGCAAAAUAUAGGAAACAGUGAUGAAUCAAAAAAUUGCGGUUUAAAAUAAAUAACUAUUGAUAAUAAGGUUAAAAAACUAACAAUUUUUAACGGCUUAUAAAAUAGCAGUGACAUACUAUUGAAAAUAAUUAUUUGAAAUUAAAAUUCAUGGGAUAUCGAUAAAACUUGGAUACUGUGGUGGGGCAGAAGAUAAACAAAAGCUUACCAAAAGUCUUCUUUGGGAGAGAAGCUAAAUUUUUAUUAAUAUUCUUUGUUGACAGGAGGUUGUAUAUUUAAAUAGAAAUUUGAAGGCAACAACUUACAGAAUGGAAAAAAAUAUUAGAGCUUACAGAAUAGUAGAUUAUGGUAAAAGGGAGAAAUACAAUGCUAUAUAGUAAAAAUGAUAGAAGAAGAAAACAUAGAAAGGAAUUACAAGAAAACCAAGAUAAACAUAAAAAUUAAAACUGAGUAACAAAAACUACAUCAGAGGAGUUCCAUUUCUUGUAUUGGCAACAUGAAGAGCUCUAUGGAUUCACUCCUAGUGACAUCUUUAGCCAUUAUUUUAAGACAGCCUUAGAAAAUAUUCAUAAAUAGUCUUAAGGGAAAAUAAAAAUUAAGAAACACUUAUUCAAAACAGUUUCUAGCACUUGGUAAGAAUAGUGAGUCUAUGGCCUUUGAACCAUGACCCACUCCCUUCCUCCUCCCUACCAAUGUAGUGUUAAGUCAACUCCAUUUCAGAUGGGUGCAUCCAAGAACAUAGUGUUUCCUCUCCCCCAUCCCAGCUCCAAGUCAAGGGUUUUGGUAUCUUCCUAGGGAGGAUGGGAAUUAGCAUUUCUCAUCCUAUCCCAAGCUACACAUUGCAGAGCAUAAGUUUCAGGAGAGUAAGGCUGAGAAGCUGAGAAUCCCUUCUUUCACUUGGUGCCGGCUUAUGGGACAGAGAUUCUCUCUAAUGAGUAAUGCACUGUGACUAUUGGAAUCCUGAUUUUCCUCACCCUGGCAGAGUUACCAUGCCAAGAGAGGCAAGCCAAAAGAGGCAACUUACCUCUUUCCCUCUGUGCAAAGCACCCUAUUACUAAAGCAGGGGUGUUACUUAGAAAAAAAAAAAUUCUACUGUCCUUGCUUAUGGUUCCAGAACCAUGGCUCAGAGAUUUUGACUGGGAAGGUGCAAUCCAUAAGAACAGAGAUUUCUGAAGACAACCUAAAGGAACUGACUUCAUUUGAUACAGAGUAUGGGGAAUUCCACCUAGAAGCACUCUUAAAACAAUGAGGUUGUGAUGACAAUCAGUUAACUGGAUACUAGUACAUUCAUUAGCAAUGUGAGUUAAACCACAGGCCAUUUAGUUUAUCAGAAAUAAUAAGAGAAAGAGAUAACUAAGAGCCCUACUUGAUCAGGACAAGUCUCAAAAACUGAACUCAAAAACCAUAUCUGCAAAGGACCCCAAAUUUAAUGGGGUCAAUCUGUGGAGCAAUUUAUGUCCCAGGGCAUAGUUGAAAACGAUCAAGCAACUGGUCAGUAUAUUACUAGGGUUUAAAGAUGGCAUUGUCAGGUAAAGAGACAGUCAAAGACAGAUAUGGUAAAACUACUGUCAAUGGAUGACUACAUAUACCUAAGGUUUGCCUUAUAAAAAUUGACACUACACGUUGUUUUUUGUUUUGUGUUGUAUUGGUUUUUAUGGCUGCACGCGCAGCACAUGGAAGUUCCCAGGCUAGGGGUCAAAUCAAAGCUUCAGCUGCCAGUCUACAGAACAUAGCCACAGCAAUGCCAGAUCCAAGCUGCAUUUGCAACUUACACUGCAGCUUGUGGCAACACUGAAUCCUUAAUCCAGUGAGAAAGGUCAGGGAUCAAACUGGCAUCGUCAUGGACAUUAUGUUGGGUUCUUAACAAACUGAGCCACAGCGGGAACUCCAGACACCAUGGUUUUUACUCUGUGGGGGGAAAAAAGACUUAAUUAAGAUAGUGUAGCUAGUCAUCAAACAAGUAAAUAAAUAAAUAACAAGCCCCGGAACAGGCAGCAAUUCCAAGAGUUGCUAUAGUCUACUACUCAUAAUGUCCAAAUUUCCAACAAACAUUAUUAGACAUCCUAAGAAACACGAAUGUUUAACCCAAACACGGGAACUAUGAGGCAAUGGAAACUGCCUGUGAGAGAAACCACAUGCCAGAUUUAACAAAGACUUCAAAGCAGUCAUUAUGAAUAUUUUCACGAAACUAAAAUAAACCAUGUUUAAAGAAGUAAAUGGAGGAUUUCCCACUGUGGUACAGUGGGUUAAGAAUCUGACUGCACUGUGGAGGCACAGGUUCAAUCCCCUGCCUGGAACAAUGGGUUAAAGGAUUCAGCACUGCCACAGCUGCGGUAUUCAAUUCCUGGCCUGGGAACUUCCAUAUGACAUAAAAAAGAGAAAUAAAUGGAGAUAUAAAGACAAUGUCCCAUCAAAUAGAGACUAUUAAUAAAUUAUUUUUUAAAGAACUGAGAAAUUUUGAAUUGAAAUAUUCAAAAACUCAAAAAAUUUACAAGAGAGGUGAAACAGUAAAUAACAAGUGGUAGAAGAAAGUAUUGGCAAAUUUAAUGAAACAUGAAUAGAGAUUAUACAAUCUGAAAACAGAAGAAAAAGAAAGAAGGGAAUUGAAUACAGUCCUACAUAAAUGUGGGAUAACAAUAAGCACAUCAUAAUUUACAUGAUGGGAAAUAGCAGAAGUAGAGAAGAGAGAGAAAUGAGGAGAAAUAAUUUAAGUAUAUAAUGGCUGAAAACAUCCCAAAUUUGAUGACAAAAAUUAACCUAGAUACUCAAGAAGCUCAAUGAAUUCAAGUAAGAUAAAGACAAUAAGAUUACAAACAGACACAUUACAAUAAAAAUGCUGAAAUCAACAAAAGAGAAAAUCUUAAAGGCACAAAUAGUAAAAUGACUUCUCACUCACAUGAGAAUGUCAAUAAGAAUAAUAGUUUAUUUUAUAUCAGAAACAAUGGAGGACAGAUGACAGGGAGACUAUAUAGUCUAAAUGCUCAAAGAACAAACUAUCAACCAAGAAUCCUGUAUUCAAGAAAAGUAUUAGUCAAAAAAGAAGGUGAAACAAGGACAUUACUAGAUUUUUAAAGAAUGACACUUUUUAAAACUGAAGUAGACUUAACAAUAUUAUACUAGUUUCAAGUAUACAACAUAGUGAUAUGGUAUUUUGAUAGAUUAUACUCCAUUUGAAGUUAUUACAAAACAUUGUCUAUAUUCCCUGUGCUGUACAUUACAUCCUUGUAUGUUAUUAUUUUGUACUUAGUAGUUUGUACUUCUUAGUCCCAUUCCUUUAUCUUGCCUCUUCCUCCACCCCAUGCCCCAGUAGUAUCCCAUAGUUUGAUGUCUGAAUCUAUGAGCCUGUUUCUGUUCUAUUCCAUUUGUUUGUUUAAUUUAUUUAUUUACCUAUUAUUUAACUAUAGUUGAUUUACAAUAUUGUGUUAGUUUCAGGUAUACAGCUUCAGAUUCUUUUCCAUUAUAAAUCAUUACAAGAUACUAAUAUAAUUCCUUGUGUAUACAAUAAAUCCUUGUUGUUUAUCUAUUUUAUAUGUAGUGGUAUAUAUCUGUUAAGCCCAUACUCCUAAUUUAUCACUCCCUGUCCUCUUUCUCUUUUGUUAACCAUAAAUUUGUUUUUUUAUGUCUGUGGGUAUAUUUCUGUUUUGUAAAUAAGUCAUUUGUAUCAUUUUUUAAAGAUUCCACAUAUAAGCAAUAUCAUAUGAUAUUUGUCCUUCUCUGGCUUACUUCGUAUGAUAAUCUCUAGGUCAAUCCAUGUUUUUUCAAAUGGCAUGAUUUCAUUUUUUUAUGUUUGAGUAAUAUUGCAUUAUAUAAAUAUACCUCAUAUUCUUUCUCUAUUCAUCUGUUGAUGGAAACUUGGGUUGCUUCCAUGUCUUGGCUAUUGUAAAUAGUGUUUCUAUGAACAUUGGAGUGCCUGUAUCUUUUCCAAUUAGACAUUUUGUCUUUUCCAGAUAUAUCCCCACAAGUGAGAUUACUGGAUCAUAUGGUAACUCUAUUUUUAGUUUUUUAAGGAACUUCCAUACUAUUUUCCAUAGUUGUUGUACCAAUUUACAGUGCCAUCAACAGUGUAGGGGGGUUCCAUUUUCUCCAUGUCUUCUCUAGCAUUUUUUAUUUGUAUACUUUUUGAUAAUGGCCAUUCUGACCAGUGUGAUACUCUGGGAAAGAAUUAAAUCUAGCUACCAAAAGGCAGCCUGGAAGCCCUUGGAUAUGAUCUAGAGAGAGCUGCAGAGUCCACUAUUAGCAGGUACACAGCAGUGGCAGGUCCAUUCAUGGCAGACAUUGUCAACACAUGCACAAGGCAGCACCACAAGAAUGCAUAGUGACUAGGUGCUGAAUCUCAAGUGGUUAAGCCUUGGGUAGGAGAACACAGUGAUUCAUUUCCAGGCAGGAGUGCUCCAGUUCUGCCCACUCUACAAAGCAGCUUAGUGCCAGAUCUGGAGCAGAUAGACCUCUCCUAAGCCUACCACAAAAGUAGCCAAGGUCCCAGAUUGAGCAGCACAGCCACCUCAAUGCCUGAAGCCACAAUGCCCUAGUCUUGAGCCUGAGAAUGAGAUGCAACUUUGGGUUACCUUGGAACCUUGGAACCAUAGACACCUACACAGGUGGCACAUAAGUUCACUGUGACCACACUGGCUUCACUUGCUUCAACAACCAACUCCUUUAGAGCAGGGCAUGCACUCAAGGGCAACAGAGCCUGAUAGAA